GCACUUGGCGAGUGCUAUACAUGCAAGUCGAGCGGACAGAUGGGAGCUUGCUCCCUGAUGUUAGCGGCGGACGGGUGAGUAACACGUGGGUAACCUGCCUGUAAGACUGGGAUAACUCCGGGAAACCGGGGCUAAUACCGGAUGGUUGUUUGAACCGCAUGGUUCAAACAUAAAAGGUGGCUUCGGCUACCACUUACAGAUGGACCCGCGGCGCAUUAGCUAGUUGGUGAGGUAACGGCUCACCAAGGCAACGAUGCGUAGCCGACCUGAGAGGGUGAUCGGCCACACUGGGACUGAGACACGGCCCAGACUCCUACGGGAGGCAGCAGUAGGGAAUCUUCCGCAAUGGACGAAAGUCUGACGGAGCAACGCCGCGUGAGUGAUGAAGGUUUUCGGAUCGUAAAGCUCUGUUGUUAGGGAAGAACAAGUACCGUUCGAAUAGGGCGGUACCUUGACGGUACCUAACCAGAAAGCCACGGCUAACUACGUGCCAGCAGCCGCGGUAAUACGUAGGUGGCAAGCGUUGUCCGGAAUUAUUGGGCGUAAAGGGCUCGCAGGCGGUUUCUUAAGUCUGAUGUGAAAGCCCCCGGCUCAACCGGGGAGGGUCAUUGGAAACUGGGGAACUUGAGUGCAGAAGAGGAGAGUGGAAUUCCACGUGUAGCGGUGAAAUGCGUAGAGAUGUGGAGGAACACCAGUGGCGAAGGCGACUCUCUGGUCUGUAACUGACGCUGAGGAGCGAAAGCGUGGGGAGCGAACAGGAUUAGAUACCCUGGUAGUCCACGCCGUAAACGAUGAGUGCUAAGUGUUAGGGGUUUCCGCCCCUUAGUGCUGCAGCUAACGCAUUAAGCACUCCGCCUGGGGAGUACGGUCGCAAGACUGAAACUCAAAGGAAUUGACGGGGGCCCGCACAAGCGGUGGAGCAU
rnacentral:rRNA from 1 species